AUGAGUACAUUGGCUGGAUUGGGGGCGUCCAAAAAAGUAUUGAUUGAGGAAAAACUUCAAAGGAUGCAAAUAAUAUUACAAAGUGACUGUUGCUUAGUAAUUUAUUUUCGUUCCGUUGUUCUGGUGAUCGCUCAUGGCACCUGCUGUAAAAUCUAUUCAGGUUUGGCAGGACCAAUUUUCAUUGGAUAAAUGAUUUUACCUAUUGGAUUAUUCAAUUUACCUAUUCGGAAUAGGUAAACUAACGCUAGUCACGAGUGAGUUGAUACAAGACUAUUGAUUGCAAAUCGCCAUUAAUAUGUUGAAACUCUGUUGUUCGUAAUGACCAGGAAAUUCAAGAGCUAUGAUUUUUAUAUAAGUGGAAAAUACUCACGAAUCCCAUGCCUCCACCGCUGGCAGCUGCGGCCAUUGUUUCAGCCUCGUAAGCGGCGGCUACUCCGCUAGCUCCGUAAGCGGCUGAAGCGGCUCCCAUUUCCGCUGCGGCUCCGUACGCGGCUCCCAUUUCCGCUGCGGCUCCGUACGCGGCUGAAGCGGCUCCCAUUUCCGCUGCAGCUCCGUAACCAGCUGACAUCAUGGCGGCAUCGUAUUCAGAGGCGGCUAGGGUAGCUC